rnacentral:lncRNA from 1 species
GGGGCAGAAAUGGCUGCCAGCGGCCGAGGUCUCAGCAGGGCCUUGCACUCCACUCCCUGUCCUGCUUGGAAACGAGUUCAGUCGGGAGCCAACGGGUGCCUGAAGCCCGAGUACGAUGCGGUGGUGAUAGGAGCAGGACACAAUGGGCUGGUGGCAGUGAGUACCUCUUUGGUCCUACUUCAGUGUCCCCUGAGCAAGUGGCUUCCAGCAGCAAAAGGGAGGACUUGAAAAAGCAAGCAGGACAGAGGCCACAGCAACAAAGGAAAGGGCAGUCUGUCCAUCUGUCCAUGCAUCUAGUGUUGAUCCAGGCCAGCUAGAGGGGACAUCAUGGACUGCCUCCUUGUCCUUCUCCAAGCCAUGUGGUCCCCAUGGCCUUUGGAAGGGUCUGAGGCUUAUGAAAUGUCACUCACUGGCAUGGAGGAACAAGUUGGAGCUUGGAGUGGGGAGGGUCUCUCACACCAAGG